rnacentral:rRNA from 1 species
CUUAACACAUGCAAGUCGAGCGAUGAAGCACCUUCGGGUGUGAAUUAGCGGCGAACGGGUGAGGAACACGUGAAGAAUCUGCCUUCAACUCUGGGAUAACUCCGGGAAACCGGGGCUAAUACCGGAUAUGAGCCUUGAUCGCAUGAUCGGGGCUGGAAAGUUUUUCGGUUGAAGAUGACUUCGCGGCCUAUCAGCUUGUUGGUGAGGUAAUGGCUCACCAAGGCGACGACGGGUAGCCGGCCUGAGAGGGCGACCGGCCACACUGGGACUGAGACACGGCCCAGACUCCUACGGGAGGCAGCAGUGGGGAAUAUUGGGCAAUGGAGGAAACUCUGACCCAGCGACGCCGCGUGAGGGAUGAAGGCCUUCGGGUCGUAAACCUCUUUCAGUAGGGAAGAAGCGAAAGUGACGGUACCUACAGAAGAAGCACCGGCUAACUAUGUGCCAGCAGCCGCGGUAAUACAUAGGGUGCAAGCGUUGUCCGGAAUUAUUGGGCGUAAAGAGCUCGUAGGUGGUUCGAUACGUCGGAUGUGAAAAUCAGGGGCUCAACCCCUGACCUGCAUCCGAUACGGUCGAGCUAGAGUUUGGUAGGGGAGACUGGAAUUCCUGGUGUAGCGGUGGAAUGCGCAGAUAUCAGGAGGAACACCGAUGGCGAAGGCAGGUCUCUGGGCCAAUACUGACACUGAGGAGCGAAAGCGUGGGGAGCGAACAGGAUUAGAUACCCUGGUAGUCCACGCCGUAAACGGUGGGCGCUAGUUGUGCGAACCUUCCACGGUUUGUGCGACGCAGCUAACGCAUUAAGCGCCCCGCCUGGGGAGUACGAUCGCAAGAUUAAAACUCAAAGGAAUUGACGGGGCCCCGCACAAGCAGCGGAGCAUGCGGCUUAAUUCGACGCAACGCGAAGAACCUUACCAAGGCUUGACAUAUACAGGAAUAUGGCAGAGAUGUCAUAGCCGCAAGGUCUGUAUACAGGUGGUGCAUGGUUGUCGUCAGCUCGUGUCGUGAGAUGUUGGGUUAAGUCCCGCAACGAGCGCAACCCUCGUUCUGUGUUGC